UGGCGUAGGCUGCAUAUUUCGAGCAAGCCAUGAAUAUUCAAUAUUCUGCCCGAAAGCAUUAUACUUCAGUGACCAUCUUGAUAGGUCAGGCUUAUCCUCCAAAAUCUUUACAGUUGAAAUAAAAGGCAUCCAUUCAGGAAUGGCCUCACGAUCAGAAUAGCACUUAUAAGCAACUGAAAUGGGCACAUCUACUUCCAUUUUAACUGUGACAUCUUGCCAUUCCAUGACAGGAGAUAGCGGUCUAAUCCUGAUGGAAGAAGGAUAAGAGAUCCUCCGGGAGGAUCUAGAAAUGCUGGAGUUGAACCGGUAUGUGCUGAAGAAGGAGGAGGAGGAUGCACUAAUUGACUUUCUUCUGCCAUGAAGCGAAAAAAUGAGCUGCUUGUGAUUGAGUCUGAGUAUGUGAGCGGAGGAGGAGGCGGAAGCAGAAGUUGCAGUGGCGGACAUGGUAGUUGAAGCAGGAAUGGCGGUGAUUGCAGACAUUUGGCGGAGAGCGAAGGACGAAAA
rnacentral:misc_RNA from 1 species